CUGAUGACAAUUCCCAAUUCAAAGUUAAGUGGGACUAAGAACAGGGUCCAGAUGGAUGAUGAAAUCAUAACCUCCAAACUUGCCUUGGAUACCACUGCUUCAGAGGGUGCUGGACGGUGCAUUGCCAUGCAUACUACAACCAGGAUGUUCUUUUGCAAGACAAACAUACCACAUUGGGAGUCUGAAAAUGGAAGAUUCACGUGGUACAGACAGAGGUUUCAACAAUUCAAGGCUGGUCCUUGGCUACCAGUUGUGCUCUGACCAUAGCUGGCAGAGAAAGAAGAGAAUGGAAGGAAUCAAGAAGAGGACAUUGGGGUCUCUGAGGGUCAGCGCCACUGCAGGGGCCAGAGGGGAAGCUGGCAUAGGACCCUCUAGCAUGACUUCAGAGAGGGGCAACCUGAUCAUUAACACCCACAAAGACCCAGGAGUUAGACACAACCCUGGGAAGAGGAUUGCAAUUACUCUGACUUAACUGGGAAGAGUUUCUUUCACCCAGUGCAGUGGGCACAAAAAAAUAAAAAUUAAAUAGUUAUGGAAAAGUAAAACAAGUUCCAUUUUCUGCAUAUCUGCGCUGUGGCCUGAGACUCACCCUGCUGCAUGUAGGAAUUACGUGGCUCUGUUGCAGUAACAAUUAAGAUAAUGGUCAUCAUAAUGAUGGUAGUAACAUUUAUGGACGGCUUACUGUGUACCAAGCUCAAUUCUGAGGACUUUACAUGAUGUUAUAUUAUAGAAACUAUUAUUUGCUCCAUUUUGUUAAAGAAAAUUGAGUCACAAAGAGAGGAAAUGAUUGACCCUACCGAGGGAUGAAAACCAGAAUGGAAUUUCGGGCAGGUCAAUCCAGCACAUGAGAAAAAUGAUGUGCGCAGAUGAGACAAACUUCUUAGAGAUCAUUCUUAAUUUAGCACUUUUAGUGGGCCAGGGUGAGGCUGUAUCUGCAUGAAAAAAUGCUACAGUUUCUUAGUCUAUGCAGGAUAACCAACAAGAGGAAGAAAUUCAGGGGUAAGCAAGGAGAAGUUAAAAGCUCUUCUGUGAACUUUGUGAACCGAACUUUGUCCUGAAAAGGGACAAGUUUUGUAGCUUGUAACUCGGCGUCAUGGACUCCAGCCCUGACCAGGCGGGGACCCCAGGCCGCAGGCAGGCCGGCCUCGCCUUAACCUGCCUGCAUUCUUGAAGCCACUACAGACAAGCUGGCUUUGGAGGAGGAUCCCGGUUUCCAAUGCCAGAGGGAAGAAACAUUCCUCAUCCCAAAGGAGACAGGCUUUUUGUUUUGUUUUGCUUUUGAGAUAGUCUGUAAAAGAUUCUAGAACAAAGGCCUUCUCCGCUUCUCCUGAUUGUCGGUGGGAAUAGCACAUUUGUCGGUGGACACAGAUGCUAAGGUGGGUGCGGGCACUUCUGCAAACUGGACGGGACCCAGAAAGCUGUGAGUCCAGCUUGGCCUGCCUUCUUUCCCUGCAAAGGCCAGAAGGAAAUGAGCGGAAGAAGGCAGGACCGGACAUGCAGGGUGAGGAACCAGCCUCGGCACCGACCCUCUCUAAGGGAAGGCAGCCUCUCACCCACCGUUGCACCCUCUGAAUUCACUAAUAUUAACCCCAGGUGAAUGGGGAGAACUGGAUGAGGCAGUUGAGCUGGAGAGUGGGAGGCCUUGAGAGUCUCCCCAUUCAUGGUUUGGAAGCAAUGAAGGACAGGUGGCCCCAAAGAAUGCCUGGGCCCAUGGGCCUGAGGCAGUCUUGAGGUUCCAAGACAGCCGAGGACUUCCCUGCGUGGUUGAGAGCAAUGCGUGGGUAACGCAGAGAGCCCGUGGGUCGCAAGUCAGUGUGUUAGCAAAGCCAGGGAUUGCCUCAGAGGCCUGGGGAUGCCUCAGAGCAGCCCUUGAUCUGAGGCUUCUCUUUGCACUGAUAUUGCAAGUCCUAUACCACCCCCAUUCCCAGGGUUCGGGUCCCACCCAGGAAAGGAAUGGAGGAGAACCUCAUCUCUGACUUGGCUAAGCUUUCAUUUCCUCCACCCUGCGGAAUGACGGGGGUGAGGAGUGAUCAGCCUGGGACAAAAAAAAAAAAAUCACUGUGAUAAAAAAUGAACUGGUCACAUUUGUCCUACAUCUGAGCUGAAGGCUGAGGACUUACUUGGACCCACUCUGCUUUAGAAAGUUUGCUAGAAAAGGCCAUUUGUCCAAUGAAAGGAUCCUCUGUUAUUUUUGAAGAAACUGGGAAGUUACCAUCAACAGGAGGGCAGAUGAGACGUGGCAAUGUACUUUGUGCCUUCUGGUGAGUGGCAUUUUCUUGAUCUGGGGUGUGAGGGGUACGGGAAUCUUAGCUCUCCGUGAAUGACGACGAGGUUGAUUCUGCACAGGGGGGUUUAUGAGUGUUUAGACUGGUGCUUGCAGUCGAGAAACAGAGGAAAGGGAGCACAAGGCUCUGUGGUGGGGGGCCAUGGUGGGGGGUGCACUGUGGCAACAGCGCCUGAAAGGGGGGUCCUGCACAUCUAUUAUGUAAUGUAUUAUGUAGGAGUGUUAUUAUGCAGAAUAACAGUGUCAACCAAUACUAACUGAGCAGGGAAAGGAAGGAAAGACGGAAGGAAAGAGGCCAUGUCUGCUUUUGAGGGAGGCUUUGGGGGCCCUGCAGGGAAGCACAGGGCCACAGCAGCCAAGGCGACAGUGUGAGGGUAGACCCUGGACACAGUGGGAAGAGGACUGUAUUAAAGGGCUGUUGGCAGAGGCAUUGGUGACCAUGUGCAAGGGCAGCAGACAGCCGCCUCGAGGGCAGUAGAUGUCAAAUUGGAGUGAGGAGCUUGGAAGGGAGAACAUGGCAGUCGGACGACUUGGCAUGGAGGUCACACAAGGUGAUGCUUUGAAGACACCUGGCUGUAUCUGGAAGACACUGAGAGCUAGAAACACAGGUUACAUAUAAGGUGUGUGAAGAGCCCCGUGAUAUUCAGGUGUAAGGAGAUCACAUUUGUAUACUUUUCCAUGUAAAGCCAGAUCUGGCUUACUGUUCAUUGGCUUGGCUCACACUUUAAUUCCAUCAGUCAUGUGUGGAAGGCUGUGCCUCCAGGUCAAAGAAUUUCUCCUUUGGGUCCCAAAUAGAAUCUUGAGUAAAGAUGACAAUGGUGGGCCUCCCUGGUGGUGCAAGGGGUUAAGAUGCAACCUAUGAAGCUAUCUGCAGCCACCUAAGCACGAGAUCAAUCCCUGGCCAGGGAACUACCCACAUGGUGCAGCAGACCCCUCCUGUGUCGCCCGUUGCUCCCCUCAGCAGUGUGUUUCAGUGGAUCUGCCUGUUCUGCUCCCCACUCUGUUUCUGGUGAAUCCUCUCAUCCCCCACACCUCUGGCCUGUACCCCAGUUCUUGUAUGAAUAAAUAAAUCUUUAAAAAAAAAAUGAUGGCAAUGGUUUGGGGCAAGGUGGCAGGUGUGUUUUUGAUCAGUCCCCUUCACCAUCACUUCCACCCCUCAGACUCCCUGGCCAAGUGUAUCAUGACUAGGGGAGAAAUAGCAACGCCAGUGAGAGCCUACGUGCCAAAUGCCAAGGACCUGGCUGCCAAUAGGCCAUUCCUCCCUUCUUUCCAGCCACCUGCUUCCAGUGCUGGGAUGAUAAUAAGAUUAGAGCAUCUCAUGGGCAGUGGCCCAUUGGCUUAACUUGUCUCUGUAAAAUGAGUUCCUUGGUCAGAAGUCAUAUUGUGUGGGAGCCCAUGCCACUGUACACCACCCAGCAAGUCCAUAGAGAGGGAUGGCGACUGUGUGAUAACAGCUAGGGAGACAGAAUCCAAAUGCUGAGCUAGUGCCCAUCCAGAGAGAACACGAGAGCCCCUUCCCUGAUGGAAAAGGGCCAAUCUAAUCUACUGCCACCUGGUAGCUGGCUCCACCCCCGGAAUGCCUCACUGCCCUGAAUGGUGCUGCCAGUCACUUAUUGGAUCAGCCCAAGAUACUAGGUGUCCUCUGUUGUCCUUCCCUCCCGUCACACUCAUUAUCCUAUCUGUUACCAGGUGCUGCUGUUGCUACCUUUUAUUUUAUUAUUUUAUUAUUAUUUUUUAAUUUUAUAUAUUUUUUACAUCAUUUUUCAUUUUUACACAAUGUAUGCAUUUUCAUCUUGGUUAUAGUCCCCAUACAGUUCCCACCCCGCCUUGUUUUGAUCCUACUCCCUCCUUCCUGCCUGUAGUGUGUCUCUGGUUGAUUUUGUUGCUUGUUGAUUUUGAUUUUCACUUUAUUAUAACUAGUCUUUUUCCUGGUCCCUUAUUUAGACUUUCUAAAUUCCUGCUAUGAUCCAGCAAUUCCACUCCUAGGUAUUUACCCAAAGGACACAGAAACAUUAAUUCCAAAGAGCACCUGCACCCCUAUGUUUAUAGCAGCACUGUUUACAAUAGUUAAGCUUUGGAAACAACCCAAAUGCCCAAAAAUAGAUGACUGGAUCAAGAAGAUGUGGUGCAUAUAUACCAUGGAAUAUUACUCAGCAAUCAAAAAAGAUAAACACAUGCAAUUUGCAGCAACAUGGAUGGAGCUGGAAGGGAUCAUGCUCAGCGAAAUAAGCCAGAAAGAAAAAGAAAAAUACCGGAUGGUCUCACUCAUAGCAGGAAUGUUGCUACCUUUUAAAGUGGUGCCAAAAUGCCAUCUUUUCUUAGCUAUUUCCACCUCGCAGCUCUCACCUUUGCAAUGGCCUCAGCUGGCCAGCCUCCUUAUGCUCCUUGUCUAUAAAAUGUUCACACAGCACAGUGAUUAAUUUUUUUUAAUUGGGGGAAAGUAGACAUAACAUAAAAAUUUACCAUCUUAACUACUUUUUCAUUUGUGGUUGAGUGGUGUUAACUGUGUGAAGCCCAUGUCCAGAAGUUACAGUUUCAUCUUGCAUUACUGAACCUACAUGGUGCAACAGCACCGCACUCCCCCGCUUCCCUCCACCACCCCCGGAAAGUACCAUUCUUCUCUGUCUCUGUGAACUUGAUUACAGGCCUGAUAUAAGUGGAAUCAGGUGGUAUUUUUGUGACUGAUUGAUUUCAUUUAACCUAAUGUCUUCAAGGUUUAUCCAUGUUUAUUCCAUGUCUCAGAUUUUCUUUCAAAGGAUGAAUAAGACUUCAUUGUAGAUCUAUGCCAUAUUUUAUUUAUCCAAAAUGAUUUUUUAAAAUAUUAGGCUUAGUUUGUUUUCAAGAAUAAAAUGACAUGACAAAGAGACAAAGCAACACAAUUGAAUGGAUGGGUAUUGCUUUCAUAAUGAUUUGAACAAACCAAGUGUAAAAUGUUUUUGAGACAUUUUGAGAAAUGUGAUUUUAUUAAGGAAGAAUUUUUAAAAAUUGUGAUUUGUUCUGGUCAUAAGGGUUUUGUGACUAGAUUUUUAAAAAUGUGUCUUCUAGAAAUACCUAUUGAAUAUUAAUGAAAGAGAUGCUAUACCAUGGAAUUUGAGUACAGAAAAAUGUGUCUGUAUGGCAAGAAGUAGGUGAAAUGAGAUAGACAAAGUGUUAAUUUUUGUUCCAGUUGGGUUAUGUAUAAAUGGAAACUUAGUGCAUUUGCUUCUCCUUGUAUUCAUAUUUGAAAAUGUGCAUAUGAAAUUCCUAAAGAUCUAAGAACUACUUUUUCUUUUAAAAACUCUGAUAGCUUCUCACUUCUCACAGAAUAUGAUGCAAAUGUGUAAUAUUAUGGUGUAAUAGUGUUGUUUUAGUGUAAAACUUUAUUACUUCCUCAAAGAUUUGUUGUGAGGAUUGAUUAUUGCAUGUAAAGCAUUAGGAAGGGUGCUUAACCCAGCUUAAAAGCUAUUUAAAUACUAAUUUACUGUUUAAUUUCUUAAGUAUCUCUGCUGUUUACUAUUAGGACCAGUUUAGCAUAUCAACAACCAAAGAUUAAAUUUAUGAUUUCAUAAUAAACUAUGAUUCAUAUCAUCAAGAUAGCUCCUAUUGAGUUGGCAGUGGAGGGUGGAUUAGAGAAAACAUGGAGGCAAGAAGCAAAUAAAGAAGUCUUGAGAAUGAAAUACAUAAGAAGUUUGCUACACUUUUGGAUGCAAUUAUAUAUCCAAGCACACCAUGAGCCUCCACUAAAAGCAGACUGAACAACCCUUGAAUGACCAUAAUUGCAAAACCAGCAGGUGAUGCACUUAUUGCUACAGCCUCUGAAGAAGAUAUACUGCCUGCCACUCCUUUCAUGCACAAAACAAGGCACAUCGAGCAGGUCCAGGUCUAAUCGGGGCCUCCUCCACUGCACAGUGGGUGUCUUCACAAGGUGUGCUCAUUGAAUAUCAUCAUUGCUGUGAACCAGUAACUGAUAGAUAUCUGCCAUUCUUCCCAUUUCUAAAUAAACACUUUAAUUAUUAUUGACAUGUCCCUGUUCUGCCAUUGUGUGUUGAGUAUGUCUAUGGGAGGAAAGAAGGUGAGAUGAUCUAUAUUUUAGUUUAUAGCUCACCAGCCUACACAAAGUCCCAUCCAAAUCUGAAUGGAAAAACGAAUCAGAGUGAGAUUCUGGAGUAUGAGCUGCAUGCAGUAGCUGGGUGGCACUUUCCACUGAUACCCUUGGGCAGACAGGUGGGUGUCUGGUGUGGAAAAAGGCUGCAAGUGAGAAGAAGGUAUUCAAAACAAAUU